UUAAGGUAGAUAGAAUGUUCAAUGGAAACCGGCUGUUCUUCCUUCCUCCAAAUUAGUCAUCGUUGUUGAGAAGGUAUCUUGAAAUGUGGACCAGAAUCAAAUCGGUGCUGUACACUUAUAGGAUGUCGAUAUCAAUGGGCGCACUCAUUGGAGCUGUGCAUAUUGCAUGGAUGGAAUUACAAUUGUCUGAGGUGUUUAAAAGAGCCCCUCUUCCUGAGAGAGGACCAUCUGUGAACAACCAAGGAGCCACAAAGGAGGAAGUAGACUACAUAGAGAGACAGCUGGGAUUAUCAACCUACAUCUCACUUGCCAAUGCAGAACCCAAAUCCACCCAGGGCAAAUCUAAAUGAAAAUGGAAGGAAACGAAUUUUCGGAACAGUUAGCUCGUUGAGGAAUGAUGAUCCGGUUUAGAUAGAUGGCGAUUAAGAAUAAAUCGCCAUCUUGCUGGUGGUUUCCAUUCUGCUUGUCAGUCAAGUUUUUGACGGAGUUUAUCUUGAAUAAGUUGUUUUAUUUGCACAUAUAAAAUUUACUAUUUUCGAAUGAA